rnacentral:rRNA from 1 species
GACGAACGCUGGCGGCGUGCUUAACACAUGCAAGUCGAACGGUAAGGCCCUUCGGGGUACACGAGUGGCGAACGGGUGAGUAACACGUGGGUGAUCUGCCCUGCACUUCGGGAUAAGCCUGGGAAACUGGGUCUAAUACCGGAUAGGACUCCUGGCUUCAUGGUUGGGGGUGGAAAGCUUUUGCGGUGUGGGAUGGGCCCGCGGCCUAUCAGCUUGUUGGCGGGGUAAUGGCCUACCAAGGCGACGACGGGUAGCCGGCCUGAGAGGGUGACCGGUCACACUGGGACUGAGAUACGGCCCAGACUCCUACGGGAGGCAGCAGUGGGGAAUAUUGCACAAUGGGCGCAAGCCUGAUGCAGCGACGCCGCGUGAGGGAUGACGGCCUUCGGGUUGUAGACCUCUUUCAGCACCGACGAAGCGCAAGUGACGGUAGGUGCAGAAGAAGGACCGGCCAACUACGUGCCAGCCGCCGCCGUAA